UAAGCGGAGGAAAAGAAACCAACAGGGAUUGCCUUAGUAGCGGCGAGUGAAGCGGCAAAAGCUCAAAUUUGAAAUCUGGCACUUUCAGUGUCCGAGUUGUAAUUUGUAGAAGCAACUUUGGAUUUGGUCCUUGCAUAAGUUCCUUGGAAUAGGACGUCAUAGAGGGUGAGAAUCCCGUUUAUGGUGAGGAUACCAUUUCUUUGUAAAGUGCUUUCGAAGAGUCGAGUUGUUUGGGAAUGCAGCUCUAAGUGGGUGGUAAAUUCCAUCUAAAGCUAAAUAUUGGCGAGAGACCGAUAGCGAACAAGUACUGUGAAGGAAAGAUGAAAAGAACUUUGAAAAGAGAGUGAAAAAGUACGUGAAAUUGUUGAAAGGGAAGGGCUUGAAAUCAGACUUGGUAUUCAGUGAUCAAUUACCUUUCGGGGUGGUGCACUCGCUGUUUACUGGGCCAGCAUCGGUUUGAGCGGUAGGAUAAUGACUUUGGAAUGUGGCUCUUCGGAGUGUUAUAGCCUUUGUUGAUACUACCAGUUUGGACCGAGGACCGCGUCUUUGACUAGGAUGCUGGCGUAAUGGUUUUAAGCCACCCGUCUUGAAACACGGACCA
rnacentral:rRNA from 2 species